AUACGGAGGACGCGAGCGUUAUCCGGAUUCAUUGGGUUUAAAGGGUGCGCAGGCGGCCGUGCAAGUCAGCGGUGAAAGCCCGGGGCCCAACCCCGGAAGUGCCGUUGAUACUGCAUGGCUUGAAUGCGGUCGAGGCGGGCGGAACGGGGCGUGUAGCGGGGGAGUGCGUAGAUAUGCCACAGAACGCCGAUAGCGGAGGCAGCUCGCCAGGCCUGCAUUGACGCUCGGGCGCGAAAGCGUGGGGAUCGAACAGGAUUAGAUACCCUGGUAGUCCACGCCGUAAACGAUGGGCGCUCGUCGUCGGCGGCAGACAGUCGGCGGCCAAGCGAAAGCGAUAAGCGCCCCACCUGGGGAGUACGGUCGCAAGGCUGAAACUCAAAUGAAUUGACGGGG
rnacentral:rRNA from 1 species